GAUGAACGCUGGCUACAGGCUUAACACAUGCAAGUCGAGGGGAAACGACAGGGAAGCUUGCUUCCUUGGGCGUCGACCGGCGCACGGGUGAGUAACGCGUAUCCAACCUGCCUCUGACUGAGGGAUAACCCGUCGAAAGUCGGCCUAAUACCUCAUGGCACCGUCUGCGGGCAUCCAACGACGAUUAAAGAUUUCAUCGGUCAGGGAUGGGGAUGCGUCUGAUUAGCUUGUUGGCGGGGUAACGGCCCACCAAGGCUACGAUCAGUAGGGGUUCUGAGAGGAAGGUCCCCCACAUUGGAACUGAGACACGGUCCAAACUCCUACGGGAGGCAGCAGUGAGGAAUAUUGGUCAAUGGGCGAGAGCCUGAACCAGCCAAGUAGCGUGCAGGAUGACGGCCCUAUGGGUUGUAAACUGCUUUUAUGCGGGGAUAAAGUGAGGGACGUGUCCUUCAUUGCAGGUACCGCAUGAAUAAGGACCGGCUAAUUCCGUGCCAGCAGCCGCGGUAAUACGGAAGGUCCUGGCGUUAUCCGGAUUUAUUGGGUUUAAAGGGAGCGUAGGCCGUGGAUUAAGCGUGUUGUGAAAUGCAGGUGCUCAACGUCUGCACUGCAGCGCGAACUGGUCCACUUGAGUGUGCGCAACGCAGGCGGAAUUCGUCGUGUAGCGGUGAAAUGCUUAGAUAUGACGAAGAACUCCGAUUGCGAAGGCAGCUUGCGGGAGCACAACUGACGCUGAAGCUCGAAAGUGCGGGUAUCGAACAGG
rnacentral:rRNA from 1 species